UACAGAGGGUGCAAGCGUUGUUCGGAAUUACUGGGCGUAAAGCGCAUGUAGGCGGCAGCGCAAGUCGGGCGUGAAAUCCCACGGCUCAACCGUGGAAGUGCACUCGAAACUGCGCAGCUAGAGUCCUGGAGAGGAAGGUGGAAUGCUUGGUGUAGAGGUGAAAUUCGUAGAUAUCAAGCGGAACACCGGUGGCGAAGGCGGCCUUCUGGACAGUGACUGACGCUGAGAUGCGAAAGCGUGGGGAGCAAACAGG
rnacentral:rRNA from 1 species